GCCGUAUAAUCACUCAAAAAUGUUACCAAAAUCAAAUUCUUCCACUUUCUUGAUAUGUGUUUUCUUUUCUCGCGUUCUUCCUUGGUAGUGUUCAUCUUUUGUUUUUAUCGUGAAUAAUCUUUGGGUCUUGGUUACUUGAAUCUUUGAAAGUUGUUAGAGGCAAAGCCACUGUUUUCAACAUCUCCCUAUCUUCUGACAUCAUUGUUUUCAACUCUUUCUCUUCUCAUCUUGCAUCAGUCUUGUUCUUUAAAAAAUAAAGUAGAACAUGUCAAAACUUUGUGAAAAAAAUAAGUUGAUUUUUUUUUUUGUUUUCUCCAUGUGACAUCAAGUAUAUUUUUCCAGUUAUUUUUUCAAAUAAAAAUUUCUUUUUUAACAUAAUGAACAGUGUGAAAAGGAAAGUAAGGUAAAGAAAAUCAGUAUAUCAAAUUAAAACUUUUAUUAUUUACUUACCUCUGUCCUUUCUUUGUAGUAGAGAUAAGGACAUCAUUGUUCCUGCAAAAUCAAGUUAAAUGGUUAGAAAGUUGAAGUUAAGAUGAGAAGAUAAUGAAAAGUUACCAAAACAAAGUUCUUCCUCUUAUUUCUUUAUAUUUUAUUUAUCCGCGCGCUGUUGUUUGAUUGUUAAAUUUUCCUGAAUGAAAAAAAUUCAACUGAUUAGACAAAGAAGAUGAUGAUGAGAUUUAUUCAAAAAUGUAUAUUACAACAAAAAUGGAGAGAAAUAAUGCAGAAAUGUAAAGUUAGAGAAAGAAGA
rnacentral:lncRNA from 1 species